GAGAUAACAGCACAUGCUCCGACGUCACAAGCCAAAAUCUCCGGUUUCGCUGUCUACACGAUUACACUGCAACUGGAGUUUUUGAAGAUCUUUACCCUGGCAGGAGUUUUCAAAAAUGUUUGGUUUCAGUGACCCGGUGCUGCGUUUGCGUGGGGACGAACAGUCAAACCGCAUAGAAAAAGCUGUGGUUUUGAAAAUGCCCCUUAGUAUAUGUUUCAUAAGUGACAGAAAUGGAAAAACACGUCUUGAGAGAAACAGGAGAUUGAACCCAAACAUAGUCAGGGGACAUGAGGCCAUUAACCUCCUGCAGCCAACGCCUUCUAUCCUUAAUGAGGGGCUGCUACUUUGACCCACUAUGUCGUUCAUAUUUCUCCUUUCCUCAGUCCAGCACUCUAAGGUGAUCUGUCGCUCCACUGAAGAGGGGGAUGGGAUGUGUGAGUACGUCUGUGAGAGAGUGAGAGGAAAGGAGCUCCUGUGCAGGAAUGAAUGAAGAUACUUUCUAUACACGUGGACUUUGAUUAGUAAUUGACUAGUACAUUAAUGUUCUGUUGAUUGAGGAUUAAUUGUGUCAUGUUUAUUUGGGAAUUCAUCAUGCUGCUGCAUCGUGAAUGUAGAGUUUCCUCUGUAUCUAAUUUCGCCUUUCAUGAUGGAUGUCCCUGAUUUGUCCUUUGGUGUCUGCUACAGGGACCACACACAGUACAGGAACGAUCUUAUUUGAAUAGCAGAUGCAUUUAAAGAUACAUGUAGAGCAUCUUCGUGAGGGGAAAUCUGAUGCGUUCUGUAUGGAGAUCUGCUGUUAUUUCUGACAAUGGACCAGUGUAGUAUAAUAAAAUACCGUAAAGAGGAUGUUUUCAGAAAAAAGUAUAUAUCCUUACUCUGCCUUAUAAAAAUGUGUCAGAAAUAUUAAUAGUAGUAGUGUAUGCUAGUAUGCUAUUUCGAAUUCAGAAAUAGUUUCCUGCAGCAUUAACUGCUCAUUCAUUGGCACUGCAAAUUCUCUAAAUCUACUGCACAAAAAAAAAAAAUAAAUAAAUAAAUGUUUUAACACAUGUAUUAUUGAAAUUAUCUUAUUGUUUGGCAAUCUUGUUCUAAAAAUCUAGCUCAUAUUUCAUUUUAAGUUAGUUUACUAUAAAACAAGAAUAAAAAAAAGCAUUCCUUUAUUUAUUUAUGCAAUUUGUAGUUUUGAAGUUUUUGAGAAUUCACCCUCUCGCUUAAUAACAAAAGGUGAAGCUGACCCCUCUUUUCUCCUCUCCACUCCGGCUCCCUGACAGAGAAACAAAUCUAAGAUGGCUGAUGAUAAAGUAUUGUGGUUUGAGAAGGUAUGCUGCAAGUGCCAGGACUUCAUUUGUGUCAGACGCUCCAUGAUAGUAAUGAAUUUCUGUGGUGAACCUGAGACUGAGAGAAACAGAAUCUGCUUGGCCAGUGAUCAUCUACCCUCCCAAAUCACUCUCGAACCUACAUUUUAGACAAAGCAUGUGUGAUCGAAAGACUUCAAAAGGUGGAAUCGGAGCAGCGGAGAAGGCUUAAUUGCUCCCAGUGAGUGAUGCCAGAGGACUUGAUUAGACCCCGGACCACUUCUCAUGUUCUUCAUUUGUGCGGCGACGACCUUCCGCGGUGAUGGGCUCAAGUAAGAGGUCACUCAUUGAGGUACUCCACUGGGAAUAGGCCCCUGCUUAAAAAAAAUAGUACCCACAAGCUUAAAUCCACUUAUAGACUACAUUUCUGGCUUCAUUUUGUUAAAUGUAAAGUACUACCCAAAAGUAAUUUUUACUGCUAAGAGGUUAGACUAUCGUAUUUGAAGGGGUGCAGUCAGAAUGACAAUACUGGAGAAUAUUAAGAGAAUAU